rnacentral:rRNA from 1 species
AACGAACGCUGGCGGCAUGCCUAACACAUGCAAGUCGAACGAGACCUUCGGGUCUAGUGGCGCACGGGUGCGUAACGCGUGGGAAUCUGCCCUUGGGUUCGGAAUAACAGUUAGAAAUGACUGCUAAUACCGGAUGAUGUCUUCGGACCAAAGAUUUAUCGCCCAGGGAUGAGCCCGCGUAGGAUUAGCUAGUUGGUGGGGUAAAGGCUCACCAAGGCGACGAUCCUUAGCUGGUCUGAGAGGAUGAUCAGCCACAUUGGGACUGAGACACGGCCCAGACUCCUACGGGAGGCAGCAGUGGGGAAUAUUGGACAAUGGGCGAAAGCCUGAUCCAGCAAUGCCGCGUGAGUGAUGAAGGCCUUAGGGUUGUAAAGCUCUUUUACCCGGGAUGAUAAUGACAGUACCGGGAGAAUAAGCCCCGGCUAACUCCGUGCCAGCAGCCGCGGUAAU